CCCCCAGGGUUUGGACGUGUUGGACUGGCAAAGGCAGACUGUAAAGGAGGUGGUGGUAGCUUUGAUUUAUUAAAGGCAAGUAGGCGAUCCUUCACUGGUGAUGUAAAGGAGUUCCGCUCUACUAACACACUUCGGAAGUCCAUGCAUGGUCUCUUAGGAGACCUGAUAUCCCCAUUCUGACUUGGAGAUGACUCAGGCUUUUGUGAAGCAGGCACUGGAGGCAAACCUCCAGAAGAAAAGUUAAU
rnacentral:misc_RNA from 1 species